UACGGAGGGGGCGAGCGUUAUUCGGAAUUAUUGGGCGUAAAGGGCGCGUAGGCGGCUGUACAAGUCAAAGGUGAAAUCCCUCGGCUCAACUGAGGAACUGCCUUUGAAACUGUACGGCUUGAGGCCGGGAGGGGGUAGCGGAAUUCCCAGUGUAGCGGUGAAAUGCGUAGAUACUGGGGAGGAACACCAGUGGCGAAGGCGGCUACCUGGACCGGUUCUGACGCUGAGGUGCGAAAGCGUGGGGAGCAAACAGG
rnacentral:rRNA from 1 species